UACGGAGGGUGCGAGCGUUGUCCGGAAUCACUGGGCGUAAAGGGCGCGUAGGCGGCCUGAUAAGUAGGGGGUGAAAUCCUGCGGCUUAACCGCAGGGCUGCCUUCUAAACUGUCAGGCUCGAGCACAGUAGAGGCAGGUGGAAUUCCCGGUGUAGCGGUGGAAUGCGUAGAGAUCGGGAAGAACAUCAGUGGCGAAGGCGGCCUGCUGGGCUGUUGCUGACGCUGAGGCGCGACAGCGGUGGGGAGCGAACAGG
rnacentral:rRNA from 1 species